GAUUACUAUGGCCCCGAUCCAGAUCUGGAAGACCAAUUUGCGGGGAUGAAGUUGCAUGGUCGGGAGGAGGAAGAGCUUGACUUCUCGGAAGAAGUGGAUGAACUCAUCAAGGAUGUGCGCUGGCUGGCUCUGUUUCGCGUCCACACCAUGAAGCCUUUCAGUCAUGCCGCUCUAAUGUCACAGAUGCGUAAUGCGUGGGCGGCGGCACAAGGGGUUACCUUCAAUGUCAAAGGCCCGAAUUAAUUCCUAGUUCAAUGCCAUUGUUUGGGCGACUGGAAUAAGAUCAUGGAAGGGGGGCCGUGGCUGUUUCGGAGGGCUCCGGUGGUACUAUAAGAAUACGAUGGCUUUUCAGAUGUCAAAGGGUAUAGACUAAACAAGAUACCGGUUUGG
rnacentral:rRNA from 1 species